rnacentral:rRNA from 1 species
CACGUAGGCGGCCUACUAAGUCUAAUGUGAAAUCCCUCGGCUCAACCGGGGAACUGCAUUGGAUACUGGUAGGCUCGAGGAUGGCAGGGGUAAGUGGAACUCCAGGUGGAACGGUGAAAUGUGUAGAUAUCUGGAGGAACACCGGUGGCGAAAGCGGCUUACUGGGCCAUCUCUGACGCUGAGGUGCGAAAGCUAGGGUAGGCAAACG